rnacentral:misc_RNA from 1 species
UCCGGCUUGACGCCGGCAGUCCCCCGAGAGUCCUCAGCUUUACCUGUUAGUAACACGGGGCAAGGGUUGCGCUCGUUGCGGGACUUAACCCAACAUCUCACGACACGAGCUGACGACAACCAUGCACCACCCGUAAACCGACCGCAAGCGGGGCACCUGUUUCCAGGCAUUUCCGGUUCAUGUCAAGCCUUGGUAAGGUUCUUCGCGUUGCGUCGAAUUAAACCACAUGCUCCACCGCUUGUGCGGGCCCCCGUCAAUUCCUUUGAGUUUCAACCUUGCGGUCGUACUCCCCAGGCGGGGUACUUCCUGCGUUAGCGCCGGCACCCAGAGGGUCGCUCCCCCAGGCACCUAGUACCCAUCGUUUACGGCGUGGACUAC